rnacentral:tRNA from 1 species
GAGGGUAUAGCUCAGUGGUAGAGCAUGUGCUUAGCACCCACGAGGUCCUGGGUUCAAUCCCUGGUGCCUCCA